rnacentral:misc_RNA from 1 species
AGAUAAUCGUAGAAGUUUUUUUUUAAGUUAGCUCAAUAUUCAAAUGAAAGUUCAUUGACAUAUUGGAAAAAAGUUAGAAGUAUAGAAUAGAA